rnacentral:sRNA from 1 species
AGCCUAACCCACAACUUUUAUAGAGGUGGCAUGGUUAAGAAAACGCGUAAACCAUACUGAUCCCGUCGUUCAGGUUCGUUUACGCGUCAUGGAGGGAAACUUUCAUGGGGCCUGUAAUAAGGUCU